rnacentral:rRNA from 1 species
GUCGAACGCUGGCGGCGUGCCUAAUACAUGCAAGUCGAACGCAGUGGGGACGGGUGAGUAACACGUGGGUAACCUCCCAUCAGAGGGGAUAACACUUGGAAACAGGUGCUAAACCGAUACUGAUGGAUGGACCAGCGGUGCAUUAGCUAGUUGGUGAGGUAACGGCUCACCAAGGCCACGAUGCAUAGCCGGCCUGAGCGGAUGGUCGGCCACACUGGGACUGAGACACGGCCCAGACUCCUCCGGGAGGCAGCAGUAGGGAAUCUUCGGCAAUGGACGAAAGUCUGAACGAGCAACGCCGCGUGGGUGAAGAAGGUUUUCGGAUCGUAAAACUCUGUUAUUAGAGAAGCGGUAUCUAACCAGAAAGCCACGGCUAACUACGUGCCAGCCGCCGCGGUAAUUC